AAUGGCCUAAACGUAGCGCCACGGGCCGAGCCGCUCCGCCGGCAUCUCGCGGCGCAACUCGACCAGGACCCUCAUCUGGGCCCACCGGUAGAAGUGGCGGUGGACGACCUAGUACUACAGGAAGUGGUGCCUGUGCGACCGCACCAUGUGCAGGUCCAGGUCGAGGGCGUCGCGGCAGUAGUCGAAGCGGCGGCCCACCAACGCGAACACCGUGACGUGCGCCUAGUAGCGGAGGUCGGGGUCCUAGAACCGGAGCUAGAGCUGGCGCACCGUGGCGCGGGGCAACAGCACGUAGGGGCUGCUGCCGCGCCGGCCGGCCCGCAGCGCGAGGAAGAACUCGCGGAGCUAAACCCUCACCUCGCAGAGGAACAGGCUGAGGUCGCGGCAGUAGAACGGCGCCUCGAGCAACUACAUCCUCUACCGCAGCGGGUCGUCGCUCCGGAACAGGUAGAACCUGUGCAACCCGUGGUGCCGCGCCUCCCGCAUCUUGGCGACCAAGUCGAAGAGGGCGGCGACGGCGAGGCGGAGGUGCACCAAGUCCCCGAGGAGCGCGGGCAAGCGGCCGAACGCGGGCGCGAACGCGCCGGCGAAGAGGAGGCCGCCUCCGUGGUGCGCCGACGAGAGGUGGAGCGCCUGGCUGCGGAGGUCCAGCCUCACCAGCCUGAGGCUGAACCGACCGCGCGGGCACGGCCACCUGCCGGCGCAGCAGCCGCGGCUGCUCUUCCUGUCGUAGGGGAGCAACCGACACCGCAAGACCACCACCAACCACAACGAGCGCGCCCUCCACCGGAGGUACCUGGCGAAGCCCAACAAGAACCGCAGCAAACUGCCCCGGCAGUGUCAGCGGCACACGACCCUCUUAUCCGAGGGCCCGCGCCACCACUCCGACCGGCAGCGCCGCCCCCCGCGGCCGCUUCCCAAGGAGGCCGACCACGACAGUCGCGGUUUCAAAUCCUAGAGUGGUCUGAGCCCGAACUUCUUUCCGCCCCAGUGGCACUGCCUACGCAACCUGCGCUUUAGACUCUUUAACUCGAGGGCCGCCUUUCCUGGGACCAACACGACCACGACCUCGACCUCGACCACGACUACGACCUCGACGACGACCACGACCAAGACGGAGACGCGGCGGCGUCGGCGGACGACCCCGCCUCCGACGACGCGCACGUGCCUCUCUGACCCCAAGAGGCACUCGCACGACCACGAGGGCAAGAGCUUCACUACCUAGACGCCGCCAACACCGCCGCCGCCAAACCUCUGCCUCUAGAGCUGCCUGCCGCCGCUGAGGAAGUACAGGGGCCGGCCGCGCAGCCGCUCGGUCUCGUGCCUGCCUAGGCAGAGGCGGAGGACGCCGCCGCCGCGCUACCCGCCGGUCCUAGGUCUCGGGGGAGGAGGCGGCAACUCCAACUUCUCGCUCGCCUAGGAGGGGUUCGAUAGCAACCAGACCUUCUACUGGAGCCACCGCGGCUCGAGCUCGUGCGGCCACGGCUCCCCCUACGUCUGGUACCACGCCUCCGGCUUCCACAUCCGGACGGACCGGGCGAGCGUCCCGCGCGACCGCUCGGGGCACCGCUAGGUCCACCGGACCGGCCGCUUCUCGCGGACCGGGCCGUUCGGGUAGGGCAACCCCUUCCUGACCCAGUACCUCUGCUCCUUCUUGGUGAGCCACAGGCACUGGAGGAGGAGCUGCCGGAGCAGCCCGCGCCGCCGCGGAGGGGGCCGAUACUCGCUCAACUCGAGGGCCUCCUGCGCGAACGCCACGAGGACGAGCCGCCGCCUCCGGCCCCACCCGACGACCGCCGCGAACAGCCGCAGCAGCGUCGGGAACAUCAUCGGCAGCGGGGUCGGCUCCUCGCUCCGCGGCCGCAGCCACCUCCUGACGGUCUUCUACCGCAUCCAGGUCCAGAGGGACCUCGGGAGCUACUACCGGACGUCCGCGACGACGUCGCACAGGACCAACUUCCGGCCGACGACGCCGUGCCGCCGGCCGCCGCCGCCCCACCGGCGUCGCGGGGUCCCCUUCCGGCCGUACAGCCGCCUCCGGUACUUCCGGAGGUAGUACCUCCGCAACAGCAGGCAGGUGUCCAAGUAGCCCGGCCCCGGCCCCAGGCCCCUCCCCUUCCUUCCCCUUACCUACCCUCCCUUUCGUUCGCGCCCCCCUCCCACCCACCUCUCUCUCCUCCUCUACCCUUUCCACCCUUACCUAACCACCCCUCCUUUCUACCCUCCGCUCCGGGUUUCAUC
rnacentral:rRNA from 1 species